GUGGUCCUUCUACACAUUUGUUUCAUUAUCUCAAUUCUCCCUUCUUACUUCACCAUUCUCUCCAUUUCCCUCUCUCUUUUUUACUGUGUUUUGUUCAACAACUCCUUCUUCCUCUUUCUCGACGACAACAUACCCAGCCUAGUUCUAUAAAUAGGGUCUCGAGAUGGUGAUGUGUAUGCGGACCUAAUUAUCCCUACCUUAUCUCUAUCUUGUGAAGGUGAAAAAGUUGUUUACGAUAGCGCUCCGCUCAAUUCUGAUGAAGUCCUAGUCAUGCUUUUCCACAGCUUUCUUGAACUUCUUCUAGCUGAAUUUUGAUCUCUCUUUAGGCAAUUGUGGAUAGUUUUAAUUUGAGAGAUGAGAUUUAAAGCUCUGAAAGUCCAAGAAAGCUGUGGGAAAAUAUGGCAAUCUUAGGACUUUUUUUUACCAUUUGGAGUUCAAGAGAUCUGCAUUUUUAAGUAACAUAUUCUUCCAUGGAGCUGAGGUCCAAAAUACGGAAGAAACAAUCAUUUUCAUGACUUUACCACCGAGUCAUUUUCUAAUUAUGUUCUAUAUAGAGGACAUAUAGUACACACAUCAUUUAGCUUCUCUUCGAACCAUAGUAUCUGUUUUUCUCAUAAUUAAAUUAAAGAGGGAAUUGAAGAUGCUUAAAGUAAUUUGGUGGUUCAUAUCUUUAUUGCAACGGCUAAUAUUUGAGGAUUUUAGUAUGUAUAUAUUCAAAACCAUGUCAGUGUUGUAAUUAGGAUAUUACUAGAGAAAUCAUUUCUGGCAAACUAGCAGGAUAUAAGUGAGUUGCAAAAUGCUGGCACCAUAAAAGUUUUCUGAUUUUUUCUUGAAUUAUUGUUGCAGUUAUAUAACACAGUUACGUGUAGUUAAUUACAUGCAGAGAACCAGACCUAGCUAUUAAUCUAAAGGAUAAUAUAAAUGGAGAUCAGAUCCAGCUUAUUAUCUCAUGAAGCUACAUGUGUACAUAUACAGAGUUUGAAUGAAAAAGUGAGGUGUAAAAUCUAUAUUAAAUUCUAAUAUAUGUUGCGCGCGCAUGCAAACAUAUACAUAUACUGUACUGGAUUCUGCCGAACUCGCAAAGUAUUAUUCGA